rnacentral:rRNA from 1 species
GACGAACGCUGACGGCGUGGUUAACACAUGCAAGUCGAAGGGAGUGGCGAAAGGGUGAGUAACACGUGAGUAAACUGCCCUUUUCUUUGGGAUAAGCCUGGGAAAAUGGGUCUAAUAAUGGAUGGAUUGGGAUGGGCUCGGGGGUUAUCAGCUUGUUGUUGGGGUGAUGGCUUCACAAGGCGUUGACGGGUAGCCAGCCUGAGAGGGUGGUCGGUCACACUGGGACUGAGAUACGGCCCAGACUCCUACGGGAGGCAGCAGUGGGGAAUAUUGCACAAUGGACGAAAGCCUGACGGAGCAACGCCGCGUGAGUGAUGAAGGUCUUCGGAUCGUAAAACUCUGUUAUUAGGGAAGCGGUACCUAAUCAGAAAGCCACGGCUAACUACGUGCCAGCAGCCGCGGUAAUAC